GGUUGCCCCAUUUUGGGGGUGUUUGCAAAGGGAAAGUCUUGUUGAUGGUUAUGGUUUUUCUGUUUUUCCCUUGUGUUCUCUCUGUGUCAUCAUCGUCUCCUCCGGAAUGGCCUAUAUUGGAUGCUCCUUGCUCGUUGGCAGCGCUGCUGUGGUUUCCGACUCAAGCUCAUACAUGACAAGCAGAGAAUAAGGGUUGGUUGGUUAUGGGCUUCUGGUCCUGGUUCUCUGGGUUGGGG
rnacentral:misc_RNA from 1 species